rnacentral:tRNA from 1 species
UGGCUCAGAUGGUAAAGCAUCUGCCUGCAAUGCAGGAGACUCAGGUUCUAUCCCUGG